rfam:Otolemur garnettii contig090497, whole genome shotgun sequence.
CUGUGUGCAGUACCCUAUCCAGAAUGGUACCGAUUACGUAGAGGAUGUGUAAUCGGGUCAUUUCUGGGUAGAGUAAGGCUCACCAA